UGUCCUACGGGGGGCAGCAGUGGGGGAUAUUGGACAAUGGGGGGAACCCUGAUCCAGCGACGCCGCGUGAGUGAAGAAGUAUUUCGGUAUGUAAAGCUCUGUCAGCAGGGAAGAAAGCAAUGACGGUACCUGACCAAGAAGCCCCGGCUAACUACGUGCCAGCAGCUGCGGUAAUACGUAGGGGGCAAGCGUUAUCCGGAUUUACUGGGUGUAAAGGGAGCGUAGACGGCAUGGCAAGUCUGAAGUGAAAGCCCGGGGCUCAACCGCGG
rnacentral:rRNA from 1 species